GAAGUCAAUUUUUACUUAAUAUACACAUGCAAGUAUCCGCUCCCCUGUGAAAACGCCCUUCAACCCCCCUUAGGGACAAGGAGCCGGUAUCAGGCACAACACAUGCCCAAGACACCUAGCUUUGCCACACCCACAAGGGACUUCAGCAGUGAUUAACAUUGAAUAUUAGCGCAAGCUUGACUCAGUUAAAGUAAAUAGAGCCGGCCAAUCUGGUGCCAGCCGCCGCGGUUACACCAUGUGGCUCAAAUUGACCCCUUUCGGCGUAAAGCGUGAUUAAAGUUUUUCCCUAAUAGAGUUAAAUUUAAACUAAGCUGUAGCACGCUUGUUUCUAAGAAAUCCUAAAACGAAAGUUACUCUAAUUUUAUCUACUUGA
rnacentral:rRNA from 1 species